UGGGGAAUCUUGCACAAUGGGCGAAAGCCUGAUGCAGCGACGCCGCGUGGGGGAUGAAGCAUUUCGGUGUGUAAACCCCUUUCGAUCCGGACGAAACCCCGCAAGGGAUUGACGGUACGGAUAUAAGAAGCCCCGGCUAACUACGUGCCAGCAGCCGCGGUAAGACGUAGGGGGCCAGCGUUGUUCGGAAUUACUGGGUGUAAAGGGUUCGUAGGCGGUGCAGCAAGUCGGGAGUGAAAUCUCUGGGCUUAACCCAGAGGCUGCUUCCGAAACUGCUGUGCUUGAGUGUGGGAGAGGCGCGUGGAAUUGCAGGUGUAGCGGUGAAAUGCGUAGAUAUCUGCAGGAACACCCGUGGCGAAAGCGGCGCGCUGGACCACUACUGACGCUGAGGAACGAAAGCUAGGGGAGCAAACAG
rnacentral:rRNA from 1 species